rnacentral:rRNA from 1 species
GACGAACGCUGGCGGCGUGCCUAAUACAUGCAAGUAGAACGCUGAAGAGAGGAGCUUGCUCUUCUUGGAUGAGUGGCGAACGGGUGAGUAACGCGUAGAUAACCAGCCUUGUAGCGGGGGAUAACUAUUGGGAACGAUAGCUAAUACCGCAUAACAAUGGAUGCCACAUGUCAUAUAUUUGAAAGGGGCCAUUGUUCCACUACAAGAUGGACCUGCGUUGUAUUAGCUAGUAGGUGAGGUAAUGGCUCACCUAGGCGACGAUACAUAGCCGGCCUGAAAGGGUGAUCCGGCAACCUGGGAACGAGACACGGCCCAGGCUCCCUCGGGAGGCAGCAAGAGGGGAACAUCGGCAAUGGGGGCAACGCUUACCGAACCACGCCCGGUGGGGGGAGGAGGGUCUCCGAUCUUAAAGCUCUUUUGUAAGUGAAGGACGGGUGUGAGGGUGGAAAGUUCACAUUGUGACGGUACCUUACGAGAAAGCGCCGGCUAACUACGUG